rnacentral:rRNA from 1 species
GUGGGGAAUAUUGCGCAAUGGGGGAAACCCUGACGCAGCAACGCCGCGUGAAGGAAGAAGGUCUUCGGAUUGUAAACUUUUGUUGGCAGGGAAGAAGAAGUGACAGUACCUGCUGAGGAAGCUCCGGCUAACUACGUGCCAGCAGCCGCGGUAAUACGUAGGGAGCAAGCGUUGUCCGGAAUUACUGGGUGUAAAGGGUGCGUAGGCGGGUAUGCAAGUCAUAUGUGAAAUACCGGGGCUCAACUCCGGAGCUGCAUAAGAAACUGUAUAUCUUGAGUGCAGGAGAGGUAAGCGGAAUUCCUAGUGUAGCGGUGAAAUGCGUAGAUAUUAGGAGGAACACCAGUGGCGAAGGCGGCUUACUGGACUGAAACUGACGCUGAGGCACGAAAGCGUGGGGAGCAAACAGGA